UUUGCGUAUUCCCCUACGCCAAAGCCUACGCUAUAAUUUCGAAUUUUUAGAAAAAGUGGGAUUUCUCACUCUCUAAUUGGUCGAUUACUAGAGUUUCCAUAUUAGGAAUGAUUUUACCGUCCGUUAGUUAGGGUCAAGUUAGAGUCUUUCUUAAAAACAAUGAGUAUCUAAAAAAAAAUCUGGGCUGAAUAUUUAAAUCAGAGUAAAGACAAAAUUCCCAACAUUCCAUUUAUUAACAAAAAUAAUAAUUCGACUGCAUAAUUAAGAAAAUAGAAACGAUAAACAAUCGAACAAAUUUUGAACGAAAAAGGAUCGCGCGCAAACCUGUUGUUGAUGAAAGAUGACACCUAACAAGCACCUAACCUCACCGCGAUACUUCAAAACAUUCAAAAUCUGAAAAUAAAAGGGAAAUUGAGAAAUUCCUAGGCAAAUAUUGAUUUUCCAGGCAUAUAUGGCGUUCAGAACUAUGUUAACACGAUCCCUAUCGUCAUAGAAUUAGUGACCUAACAGUUAAAUAAACCAACAACAGUUAAGAAAACCAACCAGUCAACUAUGAAUGGUUUCAAGCUGGACAUGCUGAUUGAAUCCGCUAGAUGCGCCAAAAAUUAGGACCUGAAACCCGGAUGUUCCUAAAAAGUUGCCAGUAUUAUGCAUACAAGUGUAUUAAAAGAGGAUGGGGUUACGUGAUACGUAACAAUAGAUACCAAUUCCUUCAGUUGAUCAUCGAAGGAAAGAUUAAGGGAAAGAGAGGAUGAUAUGGCUUCGUAACAUCAGACAGUGGAUGAGACUCAGGACAGUGGAAGAUCUGCUCCAUGCAAUGUGAAAUAAAAAAGUGGCUGACUAAUGUGAUCGUGCACUUCCAUUAGUGGAUUUGCAGCAGAAGUCUUAAGGGACUGACUGCUAACAUUAAAUAGUGAUUUGAUAGUGGUUAUCAGUGCAAAAAAUGUGAUAUGUAAUUGUUUUGUGUAUGAUAAAUGAUUAACUAGAGACUUGGUUUGUUGGAACAGAGGAAGCCUUAUUUUUUAUGAUGAUAAAUUAAAGAAAUGGGUUUUGUUCUACAAAGAUAUAAGGUAUGCCUGAUACACACAAUUGUUUAGGAAAAAAAAUAAAAUUAAAUAAUAAAAGUACAUAGU